UACGGGGGGGGCAAGCGUUGUUCGGAAUUACUGGGCGUAAAGGGCUUGUAGGUGGCCAACUAAGUCAAACGUGAAAUCCCUCAGCUUAACUGGGGAACUGCGUCUGAUACUGGAUGGCUUGAGUUUGGGAGAGGGACGCGGAAUUCCAGGUGUAGCGGUGAAAUGCGUAGAUAUCUGGAAGAACACCAAAGGCGAAGGCAGCGUCCUGGGAAGCAUCUGACGCUCAGGUGCGAAAGCUAGGGGAGCGAACGGG
rnacentral:rRNA from 1 species